CCUGGGGCCUCGCUAUGGAUCAGGGGAACCAAGGCAUUUCCUCCACACCAGUGAACCUCAUUCAGCAACCAAUAGCUCAACAGUCAGGCAUGAUGAUUCUUCAGCAGCUGUCUUGGUCUCCAUCCACGCUUGUUCCAUCUAGCAGGACAGGUCGCAUAAGGGAAGAUUUAAUGGAGCUCAUGAUGAUACAAAAUGCCCAGAUGUACCAAGU
rnacentral:lncRNA from 1 species